rnacentral:misc_RNA from 1 species
GUAUUGAUCACGCGUCAUCGCGCAAAGAACAUUCUACACUACGUUCGAAUGGGUGUUUAAUGUUUAAAAACGUGAGCACCCCCUCCGAGGAAGGGGACCCACGCGGUGAUGCACAAAGGGGUGAGAUGGAUUGUGUGAGAGCGCUCGGGCGUGCACGACCUUUGAAGGUCAGCGACAGCCCUUGCACCUCGGUUGCACGAUAAUGAUCCUUCCGCAGGUUCACCUACGGAAA